GACGAACGCUGGCGGCGUGCUUAACACAUGCAAGUCGAGCGAUGAAGCUCCUUCGGGAGUGGAUUAGUGGCGGACGGGUGAGUAACACGUGGGUAACCUGCCUCAUAGAGGGGAAUAGCCUUCCGAAAGGAAGAUUAAUACCGCAUAAGAUUGUAGUGCCGCAUGGUACAGCAAUUAAAGGAGCAAUCCGCUAUGAGAUGGACCCGCGUCGCAUUAGCUAGUUGGUGAGGUAACGGCUCACCAAGGCGACGAUGCGUAGCCGACCUGAGAGGGUGAUCGGCCACAUUGGGACUGAGACACGGCCCGGACUCCUACGGGAGGCAGCAGUGGGGAAUAUUGCACAAUGGGGGAAACCCAGAUGCAGCAACGCCGCGUGAGUGAUGACGGUCUUCGGAUUGUAAAACUCUGUCUUCAGGGACGAUAAUGACGGUACCUGAGGAGGAAGCCACGGCUAACUACGUGCCAGCCGCCGCGGUAA
rnacentral:rRNA from 1 species